rnacentral:rRNA from 1 species
UACGUAGGGGGCGAGCGUUGUCCGGAAUCAUUGGGCGUAAAGCGCGUGUAGGCGGCUCGGUAAGUCUGCUGUGAAAGUCCAGGGCUCAACCCUGGGAUGCCGGUGGAUACUGUCGAGCUCGAGUCCGGAAGAGGCGAGUGGAAUUCCUGGUGUAGCGGUGAAAUGCGCAGAUAUCAGGAGGAACACCGAUGGCGAAGGCAGCUCGCUGGGACGGUACUGACGCUGAGGCGCGAAAGCGUGGGGAGCGAACAGG